rnacentral:lncRNA from 1 species
GUCCUGUAAAAUUUACCAAAAGGACUUUUUGUACCUUUUCGCAUGGACUGGCUCAUAUCAUUUUCAAAAUCACAAAAAAACAAAAAAAUCGAAAAUGCCAAAAAGCAAUGAAAUAUCGAAAUACUUAUAAAACUUCGUAUCCAACGUUAUAAUUUAAUGCAAAUAUUGACAUAUAAUUAUCCCUAGCAACUAAAAUUCUCCCCUUAGCAACCAUAUACCAAUCAGCAAAAAGUCCAUAUUCCAAAUAUUUUAGCAACGAUUUGAUGUUUCAAAUGGAUUCGGCAUCUAUCAAAACAUCUAAUUUGCAAAAAACACAUCUAAAAUAUGUUGAUUUUUUAAAAAGUU